rnacentral:misc_RNA from 1 species
GAAAUGCGAUACGUAGUGUGAAUUGCAGAAUCCAGUGAAUCAUCGAAUCUUUGAACGCACAUUGCGCCCUUGGGUAUUCCUGGGGGCAUGCCUGUUUGAGAACCUUGACGUACCUCACACCCAACCUUGGUGUUUUAGCUUCGGCGAAAUAAUCCUCAUAGGUGCGGGGGUGGAUUUGGGUCCCCUUUUCCUCCUUGGAGAAAAAAGAGGCCUUAAAUGAAAUGUCGACCGCAUUCUUCACUUGGCUGGGUUUGCUUGAGGCGCAUCAAGACGUGAUUAAUACCUUCAUUGGUUUUCCCAGCGUCGAUAACUGAGUCUCGUGAACUGUCCCAAUUGAUUGUAGCGCAAUCGCUCAUACCUUAAUAAUUUGCCAGGCAGUCAGAUGGAAACUUCUGGCUGA